rnacentral:rRNA from 1 species
UACGUAGGGGGCAAGCGUUAUCCGGAUUUACUGGGUGUAAAGGGGGCGCAGACGGCGAUGCAAGCCAGGAGUGAAAGCCCGGGGCCCAACCCCGGGGCUGCUCUUGGAACUGCGUGGCUGGAGUGCAGGAGGGGCAGGCGGAAUUCCUGGUGUAGCGGUGAAAUGCGUAGAUAUCAGGAGGAACACCGGUGGCGAAGGCGGCCUGCUGGACUGCAACUGACGUUGAGGCCCGAAAGCGUGGGGAGCAAACAGG